rnacentral:lncRNA from 1 species
UGUACUUCAAUAAUCAGACAACAAUUCUCCUCUUUUACCAGCCUACUAGUAUCCAUGGAGAUCCAUAGGGGGGUCCCCGCUACAUGUGAACCAUUAACAUUAAUAACCUGAUUCCAGGACCGUCCCCAUACCCCGUCCGGUAUGGGCGCCAAAACCAUAAACCUCAGUACCCCGUCCGGUAUGAGCGCCAAAACACAUAAAGUUCCAUACCCCGUCCGAUAUGAGAGACCACGUUCCUGGUAGGGUUCCCUACGGACCCGGUCCGUCCACCAUCUCCCAGGAUAUCUAGUCAGGCUGUCCACAUUAUCCAUUUAUCAAUUCACAU